rnacentral:rRNA from 1 species
GACGAACGCUGGCGGCGUGCUUAACACAUGCAAGUCGAACGGAAAGGCCCUGCUUUUGUGGGGUGCUCGAGUGGCGAACGGGGGAGUAACACGUGAGUAACCUGCCCUUGACUUUGGGAUAACUUCAGGAAACUGGGGCUAAUACCGGAUAGGAGCUCCUGCUGCAUGGUGGGGGUUGGAAAGUUUCGGCGGUUGGGGAUGGCCUCGCGGCUUAUCAGCUUGUUGGUGGGGUAGUGGCUUACCAAGGCUUUGACGGGUAGCCGGCCUGAGAGGGUGACCGGCCACAUUGGGACUGAGAUACGGCCCAGACUCCUACGGGAGGCAGCAGUGGGGAAUAUUGCACAAUGGGCGGAAGCCUGAUGCAGCAACGCCGCGUGCGGGAUGACGGCCUUCGGGUUGUAAACCGCUUUCGCCUGUGACGAAGCGUGAGUGACGGUAAUGGGUAAAGAAGCACCGGCUAACUACGUG